ACCCCGGGAAACUGGGGAUAAUUCCGGAUAGAUCAUAAAUGCUGGAAUGCUUUAUGAUUGAAAGGUUUCGACCGCCUUAGGAUGGAUCUGCGGCCUAUUAGGUUGUAGUGGGUGUAAUGUACCUACUAGCCUACGACGGGUACGGGUUGUGGAAGCAAGAGCCCGGAGAUGGAUUCUGAGACAUGAAUCCAGGCCCUACGGGGCGCAGCAGGCGCGAAAACUUUACAAUGCGGGAAACCGUGAUAAGGGAACACUGAGUGCUAGCAUUUAUGUUAGCUGUCCACAUGUGUAAAUAGCAUGUGAUAGCAAGGGCUGGGCAAGACCGGUGCCAGUCGCCGCGGUAACACCGGCAGCCCGAGUGGUGAUCACUAUUAUUGGGUCUAAAGGGUCCGUAGCCGGUUUAAUCAGUCUUCUGGGAAAUCUAAUCGCUUAAACUAUUAGGCUUCCAGGGGAUACUGUUAGACUUGGGACCGGGAGAGGUAAGAGGUACUGCAGGGGUAGGAGUGAAAUCUUGUAAUCCCUGUGAGACCAC
rnacentral:rRNA from 1 species